rnacentral:rRNA from 1 species
GGAUGGCAUAGUCUUCCCGCAUGGGAUGAUUAUUAAAGAAUUUCGGUUGUCGAUGGGGAUGCGUUCCAUUAGGCAGUUGGCGGGGUAACGGCCCACCAAACCAACGAUGGAUAGGGGUUCUGAGAGGAAGGUCCCCCACAUUGGAACUGAGACACGGUCCAAACUCCUACGGGAGGCAGCAGUGAGGAAUAUUGGUCAAUGGACGAGAGUCUGAACCAGCCAAGUAGCGUGAAGGAUGACUGCCCUAUGGGUUGUAAACUUCUUUUAUACGGGAAUAAAGUGAGCCACGUGUGGCUUUUUGUAUGUACCGUAUGAAUAAGGAUCGGCUAACUCCGUGCCAGCAGCCGCGGUAAUACGGAGGAUCCGAGCGUUAUCCGGAUUUAUUGGGUUUAAAGGGAGCGUAGGCGGGUUGUUAAGUCAGUUGUGAAAGUUUGCGGCUCAACCGUAAAAUUGCAGUUGAUACUGGCGACCUUGAGUGCAACAGAGGUAGGCGGAAUUCGUGGUGUAGCGGUGAAAUGCUUAGAUAUCACGAAGAACUCCGAUUGCGAAGGCAGCUUACUGGAUUGUAACUGACGCUGAUGCUCGAAAGUGUGGGUAUCAAACAGGAUUAGAUACCCUGGUAGUCCACACAGUAAAC